AUGACCCUCUGCGACACACACUCGCACGCAAAUUGUGGCAGAUACUCUCUUUUAGAUCACACUCAUACACAGACUUGAAACUCACAAACUUUACACAUACACACAGAGUUGGUACCCAAACACUCUUUAGCUCCAUACACACACACACACACAAGUACACACACACUCACACGUAUGCACACCUGAAGAAGGUUAUGUAUGUAAGUGGGUGAAAGUCUUUUAUUAAGACAUUUGCAGGAAUUGCAGUAGCCUUUUGGAGCCCAAACAGCAGACAUCAACCUUCCAAUUGCCGUACCCGUUGGACAUUAUCUGAACUGGUGGAGCUAUUAAAGGAUUUUUGAGUGUGCUUGGUGACCGCAAAAGUUGGUACCAAUCGGGAUUUAAACCAUAGCCCCUUUGUUACGUAUUGAAGAGGUUCAGUUUUUAUGUUGAAUCAACAAACACAAGUUUACACAAAAUCUUAUGAACAUUGGUCGAAAUGAGUAAUUCAUCGUAUUUUUCGACGAUGUUCAGUUCCACUGAUGAGCUUUGCUAUUUUGUUAAUAAAGCGGCCAAUAUGACUGAUACCCUGUCCACGGAAGUCAACACACUAUUAGACGCUGUGGCCAACAUUCUAUACUUUGUCACCUUUAUCACAAAUUGUAUUUGUGUUCAUAUCAUGUUCAGCACGCCUCACUUAAGGAAAACUAGCGCGUUUGUCAUGUACCAGUCCUGCAAUGACGCUCUGUUCGCUCUGGUUUCCAUCAUUCUCUUCCUCGGCGACAAAAGUCUUUCAGAAACGUUGCUUAUCAGCUCACCGGGGAUUCUUUACAGUUAUAUAAGCUACUCAUGCAUAAUCCUCAUCUCUGUAGACCGAUGGCUAUACUUGAUCAACCCACAAUUUCACAGUUCCAUCACAGCAAAAAAAAAUUAUUCUGGUCAUUGUUUCCUCUUUGGUCAUUUCAUUCUUUCUCAGUUGCCCCUUCUGCAGCUGUGAGCAUGCCAAUUUUGUUCAUAGGUAUUUUUUACUAAAUCACCAAUACGUACUACCAGGUUUUCAUGUUGUCUGUUUUCUCUUUCUUGUUUUCAUCUACAUUCAUAUCUCUCUUGUGUUACGCAACCAUUAUAAACAAAUUUCCAGACUGAACAAAAGUGUGACGGAUGUUUUAACUUACAGGAAAAACAUAAAAGACUUACAAUCUAAGAAAUGGAACUCUUUUAUGUUUGUUUUUCUAGUGAGUUGCUCCUACUUACUGCUGGUCUCCCCUUUCACAGUUACGAAAGCCUAUGCAUAUAUUGCAGAUAGUCCAACCACGAGAAAUUUUUACAUAAUGAACCGUAUAGCUCAUAUGUUCCAUACACUUUCUCAUUUCACGAACUUCAUUGUAUAUUCAAUAAGAUGUCCAGGCUUCAAAGACAUGUUCAAAGUAAAGAUUAUUAAUCUAAAAAAUUACUUAAAAGCCCCAUUUGCUAAAUGCAGACAAUUUGAAAGAUCACCACCGAUUGAGAUGUCUGCAAUUUCAUCUGAAACAUUAUCUUAUCAAUUUUAAACUUACAUGUCAAUGAAAUGUGUUUUUGUUUUAAAUGGAAAAUGAAAUUUGAUUCUGCUGGAUUAUGAAUCCUACAUGUGUGCGUAUUUGUACGUCAAAAAGCUUUUUCCUCACAAUUCUUAUGCACUCUUGUUAGGUUUUUCUAAAUAAUUAUGAAAAUGGGGUCAUGUUUAGUGUGAUGGAGGUUGGGGUUAGUUCAGCCUCGCUUUACCUGCCCCCACCAGCAACAGAGCAAGUUCCAGAAAAGUGAAAUCGGAGCGCAGUCGAUGACCAGCGGGCCUUACACGGCAAACAGUGCAUCCACCGUGACCCCAAGUUCGACAGGGAGACUUCAGACUUCACAAGAUGUUACUUUAACCAGAUUUCAGUUAAGACUUAACAACACGUGUUUAGUAGUGGACAGAGACAAAGAGUUUACUACAUACCUGCUCUGACUUUCACCUGCUUCACCCACGUCUACAGGAUUAUCCUGAAUGUGGCCGCUGUCGUCUGGUGACAACUAUUUGAAGUUAAAGAUGGCGACCGAUGUCAACGAACGGCUCAAAAGGACCGGACUGCCCGGUUAGCAGAGGUUCCAUUUCUUCUACAGUACUCGCAUAUUUUUACACAUGAUAUAUUAUUAUUCAUAAUGCAAAUUGACCAUCUGCCUAGGAUUACUGGGAUAAACUAAAGAAGUCACACACUGUUUUCUUUUUUUUUCUUUUUUCAAUUUCAAUGAUUAGAAUAAACUUUAAAUGGCACAAUUGAUGGUCGCUGUUGUGAAUGGGAUAUAGGUGAGAAUAUCUUUCAUGUAAAGUUUGAGUUCUUCUGGCUUGUUGGGCCUGCCUAAGAGUUUGUCUGAAUUACUAGUUUUCUAUUUCUAAUCUUUAUUAUUGAUGCUUUGAGUCCAAACUGUUAAUAAAGAGAAAAUUAUGAGCUU